AUUUCGCUCCCUCUGCCUGGAAAAGGUGUUCCCGUUUUUUAUUAUUAUUAUUGGUAUUUUUUCAUUCUUAACGUCUUUGGUGAAUGUGGUGUUCAGGUUUGCUAUUAAUUUUAGUACCAUUAUUCCACUCUCACAGUCUUUGGUGAUACUGGUGUUCUCGUGUGCUAUAAUAUAUGUUACCAACAUUUUUCUUAGUGAUACUAUUUUAUUA